CAGGCCUAAACAUGCAAGUCGAACGAAGGCCCCUCUUCGGAGGGAUACCUUAGUGGCGACGGGUGAGUAACGCGUGGGAAUAUGCCCUUCGGUACGGAAUAACUCCGGAAACCGGUGCUAAUACCGUAUACGCCCUACGGGGGAAAGAUUUAUCGCGAAGGAUUAGCCCGCGUCGGAUUAGCUUGUUGGUGGGGUAAUGGCCCACAAGGCGACGAUCCGUAGCUGGUUUGAGAGGAUGAUCAGCCACACUGGGAUGAGACACGGCCCAGACUCCUACGGGAGGCAGCAGUGGGGAAUAUUGGAAAUGGGGGCAACCCUGAUCCAGCCAUGCCGCGUGAGUGAUGAAGGCCUUGGGUUGUAAAGCUCUUUCAGCGGGGAAGAUGAUGACGGUACCCGCAGAAAAGCCCCGGCUAACUCCGUGCCAGCAGCCGCGGUAAU
rnacentral:rRNA from 1 species